GGGACACGUGGUAUCCUGUCUGAAUAUGGGGGGACCAUCCUCCAAGGCUAAAUACUCCUGACUGACCGAUAGUGAACCAGUACCGUGAGGGAAAGGCGAAAAGAACCCCGGCGAGGGGAGUGAAAAAGAACCUGAAACCGUGUACGUACAAGCAGUGGGAGCACCCUUUGGGGUGUGACUGCGUACCUUUUGUAUAAUGGGUCAGCGACUUAUAUUCUGUAGCAAGGUUAACCGAAUAGGGGAGCCGUAGGGAAACCGAGUCUUAACCGGGCGUUAAGUUGCAGGGUAUAGACCCGAAACCCGGUGAUCUAGCCAUGGGCAGGUUGAAGGUUGGGUAACACUAACUGGAGGACCGAACCGACUAAUGUUGAAAAAUUAGCGGAUGACCUGUGGCUGGGGGUGAAAGGCCAAUCAAACCGGGAGAUAGCUGGUUCUCCCCGAAAGCUAUUUAGGUAGCGCCUCGUGAAUUCAUCUCCGGGGGUAGAGCACUGUUUCGGCUAGGGGGCCAUCCCGGCUUACCAACCCGAUGCAAACUGCGAAUACCGGAGAAUGUUAUCACGGGAGACACACGGCGGGUGCUAACGUCCGUCGUGAAGAGGGAAACAACCCAGACCGCCAGCUAAGGUCCCAAAGUCAUGGUUAAGUGGGAAACGAUGUGGGAAGGCCCAGACAGCCAGGAUGUUGGCUUAGAAGCAGCCAUCAUUUAAAGAAAGCGUAAUAGCUCACUGGUCGAGUCGGCCUGCGCGGAAGAUGUAACGGGGCUAAACCAUGCACCGAAGCUGCGGCAGCGACACUGUGUGUUGUUGGGUAGGGGAGCGUUCUGUAAGCCUGUGAAGGUGUGUCGUGAGGCAUGCUGGAGGUAUCAGAAGUGCGAAUGCUGACAUAAGUAACGAUAAAGCGGAUGAAAAGCCCGCUCGCCGGAAGACCAAGGGUUCCUGUCCAACGUUAAUCGGGGCAGGGUGAGUCGACCCCUAAGGCGAGGCCGAAAGGCGUAGUCGAUGGGAAACGGGUUAAUAUUCCCGUACUUGGUGUUACUGCGAAGGGGGGACGGAGAAGGCUAUGUUGGCCGGGCGACGGUUGUCCCGGUUUAAGCGUGUAGGUGUGUGUUCCAGGUAAAUCCGGUUCACUUUAACACUGAGGCGUGACGACGAGGCACUACGGUGCUGAAGCAACAAAUGCCCUGCUUCCAGGAAAAGCCUCUAAGCAUCAGGUAACAUCAAAUCGUACCCCAAACCGACACAGGUGGUCAGGUAGAGAAUACCAAGGCGCUUGAGAGAACUCGGGUGAAGGAACUAGGCAAAAUGGUGCCGUAACUUCGGGAGAAGGCACGCUGACACGUAGGUGAAGUGAUUUACUCAUGGAGCUGAAGUCAGUCGAAGAUACCAGCUGGCUGCAACUGUUUAUUAAAAACACAGCACUGUGCAAACACGAAAGUGGACGUAUACGGUGUGACGCCUGCCCGGUGCCGGAAGGUUAAUUGAUGGGGUCAGCGCAAGCGAAGCUCCUGAUCGAAGCCCCGGUAAACGGCGGCCGUAACUAUAACGGUCCUAAGGUAGCGAAAUUCCUUGUCGGGUAAGUUCCGACCUGCACGAAUGGCGUAAUGAUGGCCAGGCUGUCUCCACCCGAGACUCAGUGAAAUUGAACUCGCUGUGAAGAUGCAGUGUACCCGCGGCAAGACGGAAAGACCCCGUGAACCUUUACUAUAGCUUGACACUGAACAUUGAGCCUUGAUGUGUAG
rnacentral:rRNA from 1 species